CAGUAGCUAGUUAACGUUAGCUACAUGACUUUCUUUAGAGAAGGUUCAAUCUCUGACUUCUCUAGCUACUUGGCUAGACUUGAUCGCAUUGUUUGUAAUAACAUUAUUUAGCGGCAGUUAGUUAUUUAAGACCACGUUAACCUAUUCAUUUUGACCCAUUAUCUGGCAGUUUGAAUAAAACUAGCAAAUUAUCUCUGGUGACAGUCAGCUAGCUAGCUAAGCUAAAGUUAGCGAGCAACCGCGAUAGGAAAGGCAAGAAGGGUGAAAUGACGAGCGUGGACGUGAUUUAUGAAAAGAUUCACUUCAGGCACGAUCCGAAAUUGUCUGUUCAGUGUUCGCAUGGGUCACCCGGACCAGGGCGGCUUGUUGAUCUGCGUCGCUUGUGUCAUUGAGAUGAUGGAAAGCAACAACGUUGCGUCUGUGAGAAAGUCUGUGGCGCUGUCAGGGAUCAGUGGGGUCCUGAAGAGCUGUCCUGGGGCUCUGAAGGAGCUGCUUACUGCAGGACCACAGGGUCUGUCUGCAUUUCACAGCAUCUUUACUGGGGAUGCUUCACACAGUAGAGGACUCAGCCACUCUGGAGGCCAUACAGGUGCUGGUACAGCUGCUCUUGGAGUUACAGAGUGAACAGUAUGUGUGCUACAUCCUGGAUGAGAUAGACACACAAUGCCCCUGUUGGAGCGGUUGUGCGCCACGCUGCUCUACCCAGACGAGGGUCUGAAGGCCUCAGGGGGUGUGGGGGGAGAGGCCCAGUCCCUGCCCUCCCCCCUCAGAGACAGGGUGUGUGUGCUGCUGAUGCAGACCCUGUCCCAUGCCUGCUCCUCAGCUCACCAUCAACUGCCUGGCCACCAUCAUAUUUAGGGGGGCGGUGCUUAUUACCAUAUAAUAAGCGGUAGUAUCAUACGAUAUGUGCAUGUAACCUAACACUUAGUAUGAAUCAGUGAAUAUGGAAGUAUGUUUUCUGUUUGUGUGCCAUGCUUCCUGAAGCAGCUGCAGAAGCUGGGUGAGGUGGUGUCUGUGCUGAUGAACAGCCUCUGUGAACAGAUCCGGUCUGAUCUGGAUCAAGAGCCUGGACCAGGACCAAGAGGCCCAGUCCAGCACCCAGCUCUCCCUGGAGCGCUGCCCACUGCCACUCAUACUCAAAAAGGUUUUCUCCAAUCGACCUGCAUAUUUUGUUAAAAUGUGAUAGCUUCUACUGUUUCUACUGCUGCUAUCUUUGACUGAUUAUGAUUAUGUCAUGACGACUAAUGUGUGUGUAGCUGUUGCUGUGUGGGGAUGAGACAUUGCAGGUGGCCAGUGCUCAGUGUAUGGCUGCUAUCCUGGUCCACUCCCCCAGCCAGUACUGUGCUUCCUUCAUCCAGGCAGACGUACCCGGUGAGGGAACUUGUUUGACGCCACUCUGUGAGCGUAUCUUUCUCUCCUGUGUCUCAUCAUUCUCUCUCUCCCAGAGUUUCUGUUUGAGCGUCUGAACAGUGGCAGUGAGGUGCUGCUGUGGUCCGUCUACAGCUGUCUGCUGCUCACUGAGGAUCCACACUUAUUCUCUCAGUGUCACUCGGUGAAAGAAGACACGCACACACACGCACACACAGAUACACACACGCACACACACGCACACACAGAUACAAACACACACACACACACACACACACACACACACACACACACAC